ensembl:lncRNA
GUCUAAAUUAUUCCCAAACGCGACCUUCACUCGACCAGUGAGAAUAGUGCCGAUGCCAAGUAAGAUCAGCGCUGUCAGAUUAUCGUGGGAAGUGCCCUACCCUGCCCACAACGUGAAAAACCUGUUCCUACAACUGAGUGUUUCAGGAUCUGGUGUGUUUCAGGAGCAGUUCAACUCUAUUAGUCGUUCAAGACAGUUGUGCUUACAAUAUAUACCUGUGGCAUAUCCUACGUUAUUAGCCUUUGAAAUGGCUUCGAUUAACAAGUGUUUAAAAUGGGUCUUCAUUUUCUUCAACGCAUUUUUCGCGCUGACAGGCGCUGUGUUCGUUGCAAUCGCAGAGGCUGCUGCAGUGAGAGCGGAAACGGGGCAUUUCUGGCCAUUAAUAUUUGGAGGACUUGUGGCAGGGAUUUCCACUCUUGGAGUCUACGGUGCAUACAAAGAGAAGAAAUGGGCCCUGAUCUUGUUUUCUGUUCUUGUGUGCAUUGGCAUGGUCCUUUGCCUGGUUGGAGCUGUGAACAUGGUUAACGUAAGGGCCAUGUUAACCACAAAAGUUGAAGAUGAAUUUAAAGGGGAU